GUUUCUGACUCAAAACACAUCACCACAUCUCAGAAAGCACUCACCAACAACCAACUGACAGAUGAUUCUUCGAGCAAGAACAGCAAGACAAAAUCAUAUACUAGUAUAAUUAUUGGUGGAGUAAUUGGUGCCUUUGUUUUACUGUUGAUAUCAGCAGCGAUUUUUGUGUGUCGGAAAAGAUCAAUUGGGAUAUUCAAAGGAAAAAAGAAAACUAAUGAUGACAAAGUAGAAUUUUCAAAAAGACCGAAGUGUGAUUUACAUUGCGUAAAUGCAUCGCAUGUUGAACAGAUAUCCAACCAGAACUAUGGAAUUGCAACAAACCAAUCAAACACGUAUGCGGUAGUCGACAAAUUGAACAAAUCUGACCAAAAGUUUAAAAAUAAUGACGAGACUUAUACGGAUUCAUCAGAUGGACAAUAUGAUCAGCUAAAUGAUAUACAAAAACGAAAAAUCAUAUUGGGAGGAAACUUGUACGACAGUCACGAAGGAAUGCGAGACCAGAAUGACCCUACAUAUGAUAUAUCCGAGUUUAGUAGAAGUCACGAAGUAACCGAUGUAUAUGACCAUUCGUUUUUAGGAGUACAGAAUGACGAAGACUGUGAUUAUUCUUCAACCUACAGAAGUGAUUUAAUGAACGAAACCGAAAUGUAUGACAAGACGGCGUGAUCAUAUAAAUUCAAUGAAAGAAAACUUAACCCUAGACACAUCGAUAAAUUGUAAAGCACUAUUUAUUAAAAAUAUAAUAUUCGAGUUCAUCCCAUAUUAAUUAAGUUUCUUGAUUGCAUGUUUGUGGUAUUUAAAUGGUUAUUUCAAAUAUUUCAUUUGUAAACCACGGUACCUCUGCUGAUUAAACAUUGCAUUGUCGAUGAAGCAAAUAACAU